ensembl:lncRNA
UACUGGGAACAUCUCUUACAAAGGACUGCUAAACGCAGUUUCUUUCCAGCCCUGAUCUCCCUGAAGUAGAACUUCUGCUGGAUCGUGUCCUCCAUUGCCUUAGAGGUGCAAUGCACGAAGUCCUGCAUUCUUUCGUCAAGGGGAGACAUGACACAAACUGUCUUGCUUCCAGCUCUUUGCAAAGCUAAGAAACAACACCCUCUCCUCAGUGCUCUUACAGCCGAUCACAAACAGGUCUUACCAAGGCAUGUGAAAUGCAGUUUCUUCCAAGCCCUGAUCUCGCUGAAGUAGAACUUCUGCGGUGCCAUGUCCUACAUUGUCCUAGAGGUGGAAGGCAGAAAGCCCAGCCUUGUUUCCUCAAGAGGAGACAGGCCACAGAACGUCUUGCUUCCAGCUCUUUGGGAAGCUAUGAAACAACUCGCUCUCCACAGUGCUCUUAAAGCCUACCAGGAACAUCUCUCACAAAGGCUUGUGAAAAGCAGUUUAUUCCCAGCCCUGAUCUCGCUAAAGUAGAACUUUGGCUCUGCUGUAUCUUACAUUGCCCUAGAGGUGCAAGGCAAAAUGUCCUGCCUUGUUUCCUCAAGGGUAGGAAGGCCACAAAGCGUCUUGCUUCCAGUUCUUUGGGAAGCUAAGAAACAACUCCCUCUCCACAGUGCUCUGAGAGCCUACCGGGAACAUGUCUUACAAAGGCCUGUGAAACGCAGUUUCUUCCCAGCCCUGAUCUCAAUGAAGUAGAACUUCUGCUCUGCUGUGAAAUACAUUGCCCUAGAGGUGGAAGUCACAAUGGCCUGCCUGGCUUCCUGAAGACCAGACAGGCCACAGACCAUCUCCCUUCCAGCUCUUUGGCAAGGUGAGAAAGAACUUGCUUUCCACAGGGCUCUUACAGCCUACCGGGAAACUCUCAAACAAAGGCCUGAAUAGUAGUUGGUUUGCAGGCAUGAUCUCACUGCCUUGGAACUUCUGCUCUAAGCCAUGUCCCACAUUGCUCUAGAGAUGGAAGACACAAAGCACUGAGUCAGUGCCGCCAAAGGAGAAAAGCCAUAAACGUCCUUGCUUCCAGCUCUUUGGGAAGCUAAGAAACAACUCACUCUCCACAGUGCUCUUACGGCCUACCGGGAACAUCUCUCACAAAGGUCUGUGAAACACAGUUUCUUCCCAGCCAUGAUCUCGCUGAAGUAGAACUUCUGUUCUGCCUUGUCCUACAUUGCCCUAGAUGUUCAAGGCACAAUAUCCUGCCUGGUUACCUGAAAGGGAGGAAGACCACAAAGCGUCUUGCUUCCAGCUCUUUUGGAAGCUAAGAAACAAGGCACUCGCCACAGUGCUCUUACAGCUACCGGGAACAUCUCUCUCAAAGAUCUGUGAAACACAGUUUGUUCCCAUCCCUGAUCUCGCUGAAGUAGAACUUCUCCUCUGCCAGUCCUACAUUGCCCUAGAGGUGCAACACACAACGUCCUGCCUCGUUUCCUCAAGGGGAGACAGUCCACAAAGCGUCUUGCAUCCAGCUCUUUGGGAAGCUAAGAAACAUGUCGCUAUCCACAGUGCUCUUACAGCCUACCUGGAGCAUCUCUCACAAAGGACUGUGAAACGCAGUUUCUUUCCAGCCCUGUUCUCACUGAAGAAGAACUUCUGCUCUGCUGUGUCCUACAUUGAACUAGAGGUGCAAGGCACAAAUUCCUGCCUUGUUUCUUCAAGGGGAGACAGGCCACAAAUCUUCUUGGUUCCAGCUCUUUGGGAAGCUAAGAAACAACUUGCUCUCCAGAGUUCUCUUACAGGCUACCGGGAACAUCUCUCACAAAGCCCUGUGAAACGCAGUUUCUUUCCAGCACUGAUCUUGCUGAAGUAGAACUUCUGCUCUGUCCUGUCCUACAUUGCCCAAGAGGUGCAAGGCACAAAGUCCUGCCUUGUUUCCUCAAGGGGAGACAGGUCACAAAGCCUCUUGCUUCCAGCUCUUUCACAACGUGACAAAUAACUCGCUUUCCCCUGGGCUCUUACAGUCUAUAGGCAAGUUCUGAUACAAAGACCUGAAAUGCAGUUUGUUUCCAUCCCAGUUCUGGGCGUCUUGGUACUUCUACUCGAAGUCAUGUCCUACAUUGCUCUAGAGGUGGAGGAGACAAAGCUAUGAGUCAUUUCAUCGAAGGAAGACAAACCACAAACGGUGUCGCUUCCAGCUCUUUGGGAAGCUAAGAAACAAGUGGCUCUCCACAGUGCUCUUACAGCUACCGGGAACAUCUCUCACAAAGAUCUGUGAAACGCAGUUUCUUCCCAUCCCUGAUCUUGCUGAUUUAGAAAUUCUGCUCUGCCGUGUUCUUCAUUGCUCUAGAGGUGGAAGUCACAAAGGGCUUAGUCAUUGCCUCCAAAGGAGACAAGCCACAAACUGUCUUGCUUCCAGCUCUCAGAAGCUAAGAAACAACUGGCUCUCAACAGUGCUCUUACAGCUACCGGGAACAUCUCUCACAAAGAUCUGUGAAACGCAGUUUCUUCCCAUCCCUGAUCUCGCUGAAGUAGAACUUCGGCUCUGCUGUGUCCUACAUUGCCAUUGCAGUGCAAGGCACAACAUCCUGCCAUGUUUCCUCAAGGGCAGACAG